UCAGGUACGAAAUUAGGGGUUGCAUUUCAGUUAUUUCCUGAUCAAGGAGACAAGAAUUGCAAUGCGUGCUGCCAUUUUAGAAUACUACAAUCGUUCCCUGCUGCGAAACACGGCAUUUAAUUUUCACUGAAUUGUUUCUGAUGAUUAGGCCAAUUCCGUUCUUUAUUCAUGACGCAAGAAUUAAACCCCUGCAAAGCGUGCUCAACCUUCAAUAAUAUAUGAGUAAAUCAAAGUGUCUCACUGUCGCAUAAAAUCUCUGUUCUAAGGGAAGGCUUCAUAAAACUAGCACCUAUAAAGAAUUCAACGCAUGUAUCUUUGUGAACGCAAACUUGCAUUCCAGUUUUAAGAAAUAACGCUCGUGUGUGCAGACAUGAACCAUGGUGUGACGGUCCGUGUAGAAUUGAUACAAAGAUACGCGCGAUGUUAGGUGAUAAAGAAGGCUCUUAUGUCUAGGAUAAAAAAAGCAAUAGUAUUACUCUAGUGUAGACCUCAUUAUAUACGCUUCUUUCGGCAAAAUAACAAGUUAUGUAAAAAACUAGGUAAGAAAAUACGACGACGUUAGGAAACAACUUGACGGAGACAGUCGCGGACGACGUAUAAUGGCGUCAUCGCGUGACCUGGCAAGUUUUGCCCAUCCUUGUCGUUAGGAUCAUGUGACAUUGUGAUGUCAUCAAAAGUGGCAAUUUUCGCAGCUCCUUUCCUGACGGUACUGGCACAAACGAAUAAUUUUUAAAUGGCGCAUUUGAGGCUCUCGUCUUCAAAAUUCACUCACUGCGUAUCACACGGCAGGUAUGUGGCUAAAGUGGCGUGUUACAAUGAGGCCCCUUCAAGGGGUUUGCAGCAGGUGUCUAGGUAACGGGAACGUAAAUUACAGGUUAUGCAGAUGAACCUGUUUACUGAAUCAUUUUGCUCGAACACACUGUGCAGACCUUCCUGAAGUGAGGCAGCUGAAAUUGACAGAGAUGGACAAGGAUUCCAUAACUGUUUCCUGGCAACCACCGGAGGGCUGCUUUGACGGCUACAUAGUAGAAGUCGCUCCAGAAAACAGCGGAAGCAGUGGUGUUGGAGGCCUCAGUGUGGGCUCCUGUGCGGGUGGAAUCAGUGUUGACGCUGAACACACUAGCAUCACGUGCAGGAAAAUAGAAGCUUGCAGCGUGAAAAUCACCAUAUUCCAGAGGUGCUACCGACGCUUGAAGUGGCUAAUGACACAUUUGUACAGCACUGGAACCGGACACCUGGCUGCUUCGACAAGUACAAUCUCGUGGUCGCCUAUCAACCUUACGAACAUUCGAUCUUUAAAACGCCACGUAUUGGUUCAUGUGUUGGGACAACCCAUCUAGAGCCUGAUGUUACAAGUGUUACUUGUUCCAAACUGCCAGCCUGCGUAAACACCAGUGUAAUCCUGCGCACUCAGCGAAAUGGACCACAUGGACGUGUUUCACGUAGUGAAGCAUUGUCUGUGUAUUCUAAACAAGGAGCUCUAGUGGACUUUGACCUGUACCUUGAAAAAGUGACAACGACUACGGCUGAUAUCAUAAUAGACCCACAUCUUCCACGGUCCUGCCCACCGCGUUACUGCAGGGCGUUGAUAUGUCGCUUUUACAAGAGUGGAGCGAUCGUGCGUACUUGUUGGGGUGUGGAGUGCGAGGCACGUGUUUCAUACAGUAGCGAAAUGGUCGUGAAAUUGAAACAUCUCACUCCUGGAGGAUUUCAUACGUGCAGAGUUACCCUCAGGUACAACGAUGAAGUCGCAAAACAAAUUGGAUUCAACGCCGUUCAAUAGCAAACACCCUGUACCACAUGGUCUGAAAUGCUCCCUGUCAGAGGAAAACACGAGCGACAAAAGAAACGUCCUCACCUGACCCAUCCUUCAGCUGAGACUUGGAUUGGUAGUCGUCGCAAUGGGUAAAAAAAAACUGAGAUGCCUGCCAAAAAGAAAAAAAGUUAUAUCACCUCAUUUCUGCAAAAAAUAAGACAAUAAAAUUUUGUGCGCGCAUCAGAACGUAUUC